rnacentral:rRNA from 1 species
CCCCCAGUAGCGGCGAGCGAACGGGGAGCAGCCCAGAGCCUGAAUCAGUGUGUGUGUUAGUGGAAGCGUCUGGAAAGGCGCGCGAUACAGGGUGACAGCCCCGUACACAAAAAUGCACAUGCUGUGAGCUCGAUGAGUAGGGCGGGACACGUGGUAUCCUGUCUGAAUAUGGGGGGACCAUCCUCCAAGGCUAAAUACUCCUGACUGACCGAUAGUGAACCAGUACCGUGAGGGAAAGGCGAAAAGAACCCCGGCGAGGGGAGUGAAAAAGAACCUGAAACCGUGUACGUACAAGCAGUGGGAGCCUCUUUUAUGGGGUGACUGCGUACCUUUUGUAUAAUGGGUCAGCGACUUAUAUUCUGUAGCAAGGUUAACCGAAUAGGGGAGCCGAAGGGAAACCGAGUCUUAACUGGGCGUUAAGUUGCAGGGUAUAGACCCGAAACCCGGUGAUCUAGCCAUGGGCAGGUUGAAGGUUGGGUAACACUAACUGGAGGACCGAACCGACUAAUGUUGAAAAAUUAGCGGAUGACUUGUGGCUGGGGGUGAAAGGCCAAUCAAACCGGGAGAUAGCUGGUUCUCCCCGAAAGCUAUUUAGGUAGCGCCUCGUGAAUUCAUCUCCGGGGGUAGAGCACUGUUUCGGCAAGGGGGUCAUCCCGACUUACCAACCCGAUGCAAACUGCGAAUACCGGAGAAUGUUAUCACGGGAGACACACGGCGGGUGCUAACGUCCGUCGUGAAGAGGGAAACAACCCAGACCGCCAGCUAAGGUCCCAAAGUCAUGGUUAAGUGGGAAACGAUGUGGGAAGGCCCAGACAGCCAGGAUGUUGGCUUAGAAGCAGCCAUCAUUUAAAGAAAGCGUAAUAGCUCACUGGUCGAGU